GGAUGCGAUCAUGUCUGCACUAACACACCGGAUCCCAUCAGAACUCCGAAGUUAAGCGUGCUUGGGCGGGAGUAGUACUAGGAUGGGCGAUCCCUUAGGAAGUACUCGUGUUGCAUCCC
rfam:Solanum lycopersicum cultivar Heinz 1706 chromosome 1, whole genome shotgun sequence.